CCUACGGUGUGCAGCAGUGAGGAAUAUUGGACAAUGGACGGGAGUCUGAACCAGCCAAGUAGCGUGAAGGAUGACUGCCCUAUGGGUUGUAAACUUCUUUUAUAUGGGAAUAAAACAGGGUAUGCAUACCCUCUUGUAUGUACCAUAUGAAUAAGGAUCGGCCAACUCCGUGCCAGCAGCCACGGUAAUACGGAGGAUCCGAGCGUUAUCCGGAUUUAUUGGGUUUAAAGGGAGCGGAGGUGGAUUGUUAAGUCAGUGGUGAAAGUUUGCGGCUCAAACGUAAAAUUGCAGUUGAAACUGGCAGACUUGAGUACAGUAGAGGUGAGCGGAAUUCGUGGUGUAGCGGUGAAAUGCGUAGAUAUCACGAAGAACUCCGAUUGCGAAGGCAGCUCACUGGACUGCAACUGACACUGAUGCUCGAAAGUGUGGGUAGCAAACAGGAUGAGAUACCCCUGUAGUC
rnacentral:rRNA from 1 species